UACGUAGGGUGCGAGCGUUGUCCGGAAUUAUUGGGCGUAAAGGGCUCGUAGGCGGUUUGUCGCGUCGGGAGUGAAAACUCAGGGCUUAACCCUGAGCCUGCUUCCGAUACGGGCAGACUAGAGGUAUGCAGGGGAGAACGGAAUUCCUGGUGUAGCGGUGGAAUGCGCAGAUAUCAGGAGGAACACCGGUGGCGAAGGCGGGUCUCUGGGCUGUAACUGACGCUGAGGAGCGAAAGCGUGGGUAGCGAACAGG
rnacentral:rRNA from 1 species